CGCCGCCGUCGUCAUCGUGGUGGUGGAGGGAGGAGGAGGUGUCGGGUUCGUCGAGGAAGCUGAGAUCUUCUUCCUCUUCGCAGAAAACGUGAGAGGAGAAGAGGAGAAGGGUUGCGAGAGAAAGCAGAAUGAGAAUUCUCAUUGUGAUUCAGAUUUGCAGAAAACAGAGUGAGAAUUGAGAAGUGAAUGAUUAUGCUUUAUGACUGUGACUUUGAGACUUUGAGUGUAAUCGAUUCGAUGCGAGACUCGGUUGACUUUUA
rnacentral:lncRNA from 1 species